AGUGUCUGCCUGGUGGCCACUAGAGACAGCCCAGCCUGGGCCAUGGAAGAAAACCCGACCUUGGAAUCAGAAGCCUGGGGCUCCUCUAGGGGGUGGCUGGCCCCCCGGGAGGCCAGAGGAGGCCCAUCGCUGUCUUCUGUGCUGAACGAGCUGCCCAGUGCUGCCACCCUUCGGUACCGAGACCCUGGGGUGCUGCCUUGGGGGGCGCUGGAGGAGGAGGAGGAGGAUGGAGGAAGGAGCAGAAAGGCCUUCACAGAAGUCACCCAGACAGAGCUGCAGGACCCUCACCCUUCCCGGGAACUGCCCUGGCCCAUGCAGGCCAGACGGGCACACAGGCAAAGAAAUGCCAGCAGGGACCAGGUGGUCUAUGGCUCUGGAACUAAGACGGACCGAUGGGCGCGGCUACUUCGGAGGUCCAAGGAGAAAACAAAGGAAGGCUUGCGAAGCCUGCAGCCCUGGGCGUGGACACUGAAGAGGAUCGGGGGACCGUGUUUCUUCGCCUCGCCUCCCUGGUGGUCCUGCUCUUCUCUCUCUGG
rnacentral:misc_RNA from 1 species